UCGGCCUCAGAUUGGUAGGACUACCCGCUGAACUUAAGCAUAUCAAUAAGCGGAGGAAAAGAAACUAACAAGGAUUCCCCUAGUAACGGCGAGUGAAGAGGGAAGAGCCCAAGAUUGAAAGCUGGCGUCUUCGGCGUCCGCAUUGUAAUCUCAAGAAGUGUUUUC
rnacentral:rRNA from 1 species